rnacentral:rRNA from 1 species
AGAUUAAGUUAUUAAGGGCGCACGGUGGAUGCCUUGGCACUAGAAGCCGAUGAAGGACGUUACUAACGACGAUAUGCUUUGGGGAGCUGUAAGUAAGCUUUGAUCCAGAGAUUUCC